CUUCGAAAUGUUUACUCUCUAAGGAUCCUGGAACUGGCAACAAAAAAAUAAAUGUCUUCUACUUUAAUCCAAAGAACAAUCACUGUGAGCCAUUCAUCUAUCGUGGUUCUGGAGGCAAUGGAAAUAGAUUCCUGAAUAAAAAAGCUUGCAAAACUGAAUGUCAAGUCAAAUAGGACAACUAGACCUAUAAUGCAGAAGAGAGGCUGGAACAUUUACAGAUCUCUUAACAUGUCACUGGUUCUUACAAAAUAAAGGCUCUUGGAUAAAAAUCUGAUACUUUCCAGACUACUAUGCAAAUCUUGGUGAAAAUCUUUGCAUGCUCUUCAAUAAACUCUUCUCUUCUUCCUGAA